UUAACAUCAGCUCUCUAAUUAAAAAAGCACAGCAGAGGAUGUACUUCCUGAGGCAGCUGAAGAAGUUUAACCUGCCAAAGACAAUGAUGGUUCACUUCUACACUUCCAUCACCAUCUGUUAUGCUGCUGCCACUGCCAAGGACAAAGGCCGACUGCAAUGUGUCAUCUGCUCUGCUGAAGGUAAUCGGAUGCAACCUUCCAUCUCUUCAGGACCUGUACACUUUCCAGGACCCUGAAGCAGGCGGUUAAGAUUGUGUCUGACACUUCUCACUUUAAGUUGGAUUUUCCACAAUGACAAAUGAUUUUUGCGUGAGAUAAUUUCCCUUGCUCUGGAUGCUCUGAAAGCUCAGGAAAAACUGGAAGCAUCUGAUAAAUGAGUCCUCACUCACUUAGAUGAUAAAGGAUUUUUUAAUAGGUGUGACGACUGAGAAUUUGUUCUUGUCCCAUGACCCAUGUUUCACAGUUCCAGUUCAGUUAAGAGACCACGGGGACUGUUUGCUCUCAACUGCACUCCAGCGAGUCACAAAAGGAGAAGAAGAGUCAGGAGUCAAGAAAACAACGUCCUCCCCUCUCAAUAAAUGAUUGUGGACCAAUAACUGUACACAUCAACUCCUCAUUCAACGGCUACACCUCAGGGGAUCCAUUCUUCGAAAGAAAUAAGAAAAAAAACAGCUUGCGGAUUUUGUAUAGCAAUAACACAUGAGCUGUUUUAAAUAAUGGCCUUGUGUAUCCCGUCUUCACUGGAAUGAGAUCUAAUGGGAAAAAGACUAAGUAACCCUUAUCACUCAUUUGGUCAAGAGGCAUGCCAGAUAUAAUCUCUCAUCCUUGACAGGCCGGGAAAAAGGAAGAGCCUCACUUACUGGGUUGGACAUGUAAUAAAGGAUUGUCUUUUUUAUUUUGGAUUUCUUGAUUUCCCAAUGGACCAAGUAGCCUAAACUUGACAGAGAAAGCAGCCAGGCCUGAUGCCACAGGGUCCGUGGAGGAAAUUACAGCAAAUCCCU